UACAGAGGGUGCAAGCGUUUAAUCGGAAUUACUGGGCGUAAAGCGUGCGUAGACGGUUACAUAAGUCAGAUGUGAAAGCCCCGGGCUCAACCUGGGAAUUGCAUUUGAGACUGUGUAGCUAGGGUGCGGAAGAGGGAAGCGGAAUUUCCGGUGUAGCGGUGAAAUGCGUAGAUAUCGGAAGGAACACCAGUGGCGAAAGCGGCUUCCUGGCCCAGCACCGACGUCAGGCACGAAAGCGUGGGGAGCAAACAGG
rnacentral:rRNA from 1 species